rnacentral:rRNA from 1 species
UACGUAGGCCCCAAGCGUUAUCCGGAUUUACUGGGCGUAAAGAGUCUGUAGGCGGAGAAGAAAGUCGGUCAUCAAAUUCCGGGGCUCAACCCCGGUUCGUGAUCGAAACUCCUUUUCUUGAUCGGUUAAGAGGCAAGCGGAACGGUAGGAGUAGGGGUGCAAUCCGUUGACACCUACCAGAACACCAAAAGCGAAGGCAGCUUGCUGGGAACCUGAUGACGCUGAGAGACGAAAGCGUGGGGAGCGAAAAGG